rnacentral:rRNA from 1 species
CCCUUAGAUGUUCUGGGCCGCACGCGCGCUACACUGACAGGGCCAACGAGUUCAUCACCUUGGCCGGAAGGUCUGGGUAAUCUUGUUAAACCCUGUCGUGCUGGGGAUAGAGCAUUGCAAUUAUUGCUCUUCAACGAGGAAUGCCUAGUAAGCGCAUGUCAUCAGCAUGCGUUGAUUACGUCCCUGCCCUUUGUACACACCGCCCGUCGCUACUACCGAUUGAAUGGCUCAGUGAGGCCUUCGGACUGGCCCAGGGAGGUCGGCAACGACCACCCAGGGCCGGAAAGUUGGUCAAACUCAGUCAUUUAGAGGAAGUAAAAGUCGUAACA